CACAACAAACCAAACCCUCCUGUUGCUCCCACAACUCCCCCUAGCACCAGCCCUACCUCCCCAUCCCCCAAAUCUCCAUCUCCUCAGUACCCUCAUCACCCUCCUGGGACCUCACCAUCACCAGCAUCAGUGGCUAACCCUCCAGCCACCUCACCAUCACCAGUAGUGGCUAGCCCUCCUGCCACCUCCCCAUCACCAGUGGGCUACCCUCCUGCCACCUCCCCAUCGCCAGUGGGCUACCCUCCUGCCACCUCACCAUCACCAGUGGGCUACCCUCCUGCCACCUCACCAUCACCAGUGGGAUACACUCCUGCCACCUCACCAUCCCCAUCAACAACAACAUCUCCAGCGCUAGCGCCAGGUCCAUCUUCAUCCCUUACACCAUUUCCUUCUCCACCCUCACCGCCCCCCGAGGGGCCCACACCGCCCUCCGAGGGGCCCACACCGGCCCCGUCCGCAGAGUCUGCGGGCCCCACACCACCGGGAACCGUUUCUCCGCCGCCCGGGACAGCGGACUCGACGGCUCCGAGACCGGCGGGGAGUGGAGCGUCGCAUAGUGUAACGGCUCCUUCGAGCGUGCUGGUGUCU
rnacentral:lncRNA from 1 species